UAUAUCAUUUUACGUGUCGAUGGAUUUGGGUCGUAGAACUAUAUCGCGAUCGGUUAAUGGCGUUGCGUAACGCCAGACGAGAUACGCGACUCGAUAAAAAUCGAUUGUAUCAUCGACGGUGGGAACGUUCGUUUGGUUUCCUCAAGAUCGAGAGCCUUGUUAUAACCCUCUCUCUUGUACGUCUCUUUUUUAUACUCUAUCUUCGUUCCUCCCUUUUCACGCGCCAGAAUCAUAUAUCUUUUUUCGCGCAUGAACGAACUGACGGAUCUGGUAAAUAGAGUGUCUAACUAAGUUCCUAACUAUCUUCGUUAGAAACGCAAAACAAUCUUCUCGCGCGCGAUUGUUAUCAUGAUGAGUAUACAUAUAUGAAUAAUAAGCUUGGUAAGGCGCAAGGUGAUCCGAUAUAUCGACGAUUCGUGUUGAUUAUAGGUUAGGUUUAGAGCCCCGGAGCACGGGAACGAUGGAGCAAUUCGUUCCCUGGUCGAAGUCGUAACCGCGGUGUAGAGGUGUCGUAACAGCGACUUAAUAACAGCUACGUUGAAAAGGGAAGGGAAAAGGAAGGAAGAUUUUUAUCGGUUCUCGCUCAAAUUCGCUACUCUAUAUUUCACCGUGAGGAACAUUCUAACGCACUUUACAAAGCUCUUAAGAAUUCAUCAUGGAACUAAAACGAAGAUAAAUAGAAUAUAGGAACAUACAACCGAUAUAAAAUAAUCUGAGGAACUAUGCGGUAAAAAGUGGAAUAAAAGCAUUAUCUAUCGGAAACGUGGAUUAGCGCCCUACAUAAAAUACAUAGUCACUAAAAUACUAUAUUGUAUUAGAUAGGUUAGACUCCUAGACCAUGAGCCCUCAAGCGUUGAAGCCAGCUGUCCACUAUUAAGGGCAUAGAGGGCGCCAAAACAUUGUAUCGCCCGCAGUGCCAAACUCUUGCUACAUCAUCUCAUUAACACGGAAGAAUUUAAGAAACGACAAUGAAUAUUUACUUUCAUUUUUUAAAAGUACCCCACAGUAACAAGUCAUUGUUCCUCUGUAAUAAAAAUGGCAGGUCGAUAAAGUGCUAAUAAUCGAUGUAGAAGUCAAGUAUUCACGGAUCGAAAAGUAGAAAGUGAAGUAUCCCAUCUACGAUUUACACUCCGUUAACGAUCGUUUGUCACGAUCGAAGAUAAAGACGGUGAGAUUCCUACGGCGUUGGUUCCAAUGAGAAUCGCAGCCAAUCGUAUCCAAUGAGAAUUGAUGGAAAUGGGAACCCUUAUCACGAGAUGUCGCCAUCCCCUGCUAAGGAUUAAAUUAUGUAAAUUCCCGGGAGUAUCGGUCGUGACCGAUCGAAUACGCAAAAAGAACACCGAUCGAAGUACAUAUUCUUUUGGAAUUCGAUUAUGUGUCAACACGAUCGAAAUAUGUACGAACAGGAACAUAAGAAAAGAUAAAAGGAGCGUAUUAUAAGGCUUGGAUGUCUACGAUCCGGCGACAAGCAUACAAGUAUAAUUGCUUAUGGAUGCGGACACGCCCUGAGAGAAAAAUUCAUCCGGGGAAUGCGCUGAAGUAACCACGUCCUUGACCGUACUUGACGGAAACGGCAUUCAACCUUCUGAUGCCUUCUUCUCCGUCGUCCAAGAUGGAAUUCUACCGCGAGGCGGUUGUAUUCCAAGCUGAACACCGUGUUUGGAACUUUUAUUUGAUGACUACCUAAAGAAAAUAUCAGAAAGAAAAUCGGGCAAGAAUGUUGGAAGUUGUUAAUUCUAAAAGUAGCGGAAUUUUUAUUUCUUUUAAAACACUAAUAACGCAUUGUUCGAAAACAAGAAUUUUGGCUUCUAUAUUUCAAAAUGACCUGAAUAUUUACGAAAGAUAAGAAAACGAUUGCCUAUUUUAAUACUAUGCCGUGAUUUGUCGAGUAUCUAAUCUAUAAAAUAGUUUUCAAGGAUACUAGAUAUCCUAAUAAAUGAUAAAACGAUUUAAGCGCCAAGUUACACAGAUCAUAUGUAUUUAUUUCAUCUUUCUAGACUUUCAUUGUAAGACUAAGAAUCACCUUUGUAAAUUUCCAUGCUUUCUACAAAGUAUACAAGCAACACAGUUACAUACGUGUAAUGCAGGUAAAUUACUCAAGAAUAUUAUCCGCCUGACUUGGAAGUGGGCAUGCAGGAUGGAACCUGAUUCGCAGUGCGAAGUCUAAAUGACACGGGAGAGGAACGGGAAAUCUGACAUUCUCGUUUUCCUCUCGCACAAGCUAGCACCUCGUUAACUGACCAAGAUCUUUUUUCAUUAACUGGCUAUCGCCAUCCUCGCCAAUUAGGAUACAAAAAGAUUGGAAUAGAAAUGAAAAAAUCUUGGUUCUAUAAAAAUUACGCAAAGGUAAUUUACAAGGGCCGUAUAAUAAUAGUACCGUGUGAUUGACUUAAGAAAUGGAGGAGGAAUUUGAAAUUUUUAAAAGAUUUAUUUCGUUUGGACCAAAAAUUUUGUGCUUCUCGCCUGGAGGCUUUCCUUCCUCCUUCUUUUUCGUGACAACGUAACGCAACAUGCUCGUUAGAUUGGGGUUCGAGUGCGCGAGAAAGGGGAGGAAUUUAUGCCGUCGUUAACGUAACGUUCCUUGGUGCAAGGUGGUUUACAAGCAACAUCGUAAAAUCCGCGUCUUCUCGAUUUAUCAUAGCACGAGCAACAAACUGCUCGCAUUCCCUUCAUUCGCCAGUGCGUGGAAUAUCUCGUGGUGAAGGUUAUUCACCCUUCUCGAGGGACUAAAAUCACUCUAGAUCCUCCGAGAUAAUGAGGUAUAUCGAAUUGGUAAUAAACAGUGGAAAAGGAGUA